CGCUCUGGUGGUUCAGUGGUUGGAAUAUCCACCUUGGAUGCGGAAGGUCGUAGGUUUGAUCCCCGGCUGAGUCA